AUACGGAGGGUGCGAGCGUUAAUCGGAAUUACUGGGCGUAAAGGGUGCGUAGGCGGCUUGAUAAGUCGGAUGUGAAAGCCCCGGGCUUAACCUGGGAAUUGCAUUCGAUACUGUCAGGCUAGAGUAUGUCAGAGGUCGGCGGAAUUCCUGGUGUAGCGGUGAAAUGCGUAGAUAUCAGGAGGAACACCAGUGGCGAAGGCGGCUAACUGGGGCAAUACUGACGCUGAGGCACGAAAGCGUGGGGAGCAAACAGGAUUAGAAACCCUAGUAGUCC
rnacentral:rRNA from 1 species